AUUGAACGCUGGCGGCAGGCCUAACACAUGCAAGUCGGACGGUAGCACAGGGGAGCUUGCUCCUCGGGUGACGAGUGGCGGACGGGUGAGUAAUGUCUGGGGAUCUGCCCGAUAGAGGGGGAUAACCACGGGAAACGGUGGCUAAUACCGCAUAACGUCGCAAGACCAAAGAGGGGGACCUUCGGGCCUCGCACUAUCGGAUGAACCAGGAUGGGAUUAGCUAGUAGGCGGGGUAACGGCCCACCUAGGCGACGAUGCCUAGCUGGUCUGAGAGGAUGACCAGCCACACUGGAGCUGAGACACGGUCCAGACUCCUACGGGAGGCAGCAGUGGGGAAUAUUGCACAAUGGGCGCAAGCCUGAUGCAGCCAUGCCGCGUGUAUGAAGAAGGCCUUCGGGUUGUAAAGUACUUUCAGCGGGGAGGAAGGCGAUGUGGUUAAUAACCGCGUCGAUUGACGUUACCCGCAGAAGAAGCACCGGCUAACUCCGUGCCAGCAGCCGCAGUAA
rnacentral:rRNA from 1 species